CUAGUAUGUUCUGUGAGCAUCUAUACUGCAUGUCAUCAGAAUGUCUUUAGACCACCAAAGGUGAAACUGCCAUCUAUUAGACCACGAAGCACAAGGAGUAUCAGAAGAAACUUCCAAAGUUGCCAUACUCUGAGAGUAUCUUGUCCUAAACUGGGUAACACUGAUAUGUUAUCGGAGUGUUGGGAGAAACCAUUGAAACCAUUUAAAAGAAAAAUCUUUACA
rnacentral:lncRNA from 1 species